rnacentral:rRNA from 1 species
CUUCCGCCGGCGACCGGCGCACGGGUGAGUAACACGUGUGCAACCUGGCCGUGACAGAUGGAUAACCGGGAGAAAUCCCGCCUAAUACAACAUAAUGCCGGGAGGGGACAUCCCCUGCCGGCCAAAGGGGGCGACCCCGGUCACGGAUGGGCAUGCGGCGCAUUAGGUAGUUGGUGGGGCAACGGCCCACCAAGCCGACGAUGCGUAGGGGUUCUGAGAGGAAGGUCCCCCACAUUGGAACUGAGACACGGUCCAAACUCCUACGGGAGGCAGCAG